UGUCUCCUGGGGUGUUUGCCAGUACAGUCAUGUCCCUGCCGAUGCUUAAUACCCAGGAAGUUGAUUCCGUUAUUUUUGUGCAAGCUCGACUCGAUCGAGAAGCCUGCGGUAACGAUGAUAUUUCCGCCCUGAACUUUUCGGUUCUGGGCGACGCUGAAACAGCGGCACUUUGGGAGACUA
rnacentral:other from 1 species